rnacentral:rRNA from 1 species
CCUACGGGGUGCAGCAGUGAGGAAUAUUGGUCAAUGGACGAGAGUCUGAACCAGCCAAGUAGCGUGAAGGAUGACUGCCCUAUGGGUUGUAAACUUCUUUUAUAUGGGAAUAAAAUGUUCCACGUGUGGGAUUUUGUAUGUACCAUAUGAAUAAGGAUCGGCUAACUCCGUGCCAGCAGCCGCGGUAAUACGGAGGAUCCGAGCGUUAUCCGGAUUUAUUGGGUUUAAAGGGAGCGUAGGUGGAUUGUUAAGUCAGUUGUGAAAGUUUGCGGCUCAACCGUAAAAUUGCAGUUGAAACUGGCAGUCUUGAGUACAGUAGAGGUGGGCGGAAUUCGUGGUGUAGCGGUGAAAUGCUUAGAUAGCACGAAGAACUCCGAUUGCGAAGGCAGUUCACUGGACUGCAACUGACACUGAGGCUCGAAAGUGUGGGUAUCAAACAGGAUUAGAUACCCCUGUAGUC